CGGUGGCCAGAGGACAAGAGGCUUCCAGACAGACGGAGGGAUGCUUUGGGGGACGUCGGAGACGCGACCAACAGCCGGCGACAAACAGCCGGACUCCGAGGACACGGCGGCGGGCUCUGUGGUCUCGGGGCUGCUGCUGGCGACGGAGAGGAGCCGGCGGGAGCGCCCCCCGAGCCCGCUGCUGCCGCCGCCGAGUAAUCCUGGCACUUGACUACUCUAUGGAAACAACUUGUCAUGCCUGCAUUGUGGAAGCGGUGUUCACAAUGAAAUGCACAACAUACAAGCUGAAGCAGCACUCAUAGUUGUUGGUGUUUCAGGGAGAACAUUCGUUAUGUUAAAUACAAGAUUCUUUGUUGGGUUGCUUUCUGCCUUAAUGUCAAUCGAUACAUUGGAAGUUAUCGAGAAGUUCAAAUUCUGAUGAAGAAGGAAGAAUUGACCCUUGAAAUGGUUGAUAUUUUAUAAUAUUUUAAUAAAAGGGUGGUGACAGAAAGAGACAUUAUCAAGAAGGAAUUUGGAUAAGGCACAAACCAAAUUUUGAUUACUACCGACUUACUGUCCCUGGUGUUUACAUCUGUCCCAGGUUGACAACUGCUUCCGGAUGGCCCUCUUGGAAUUGGCAGUGGAGGUCAAUUUGGGAGGAAAUCUGUGGCCAUAAACAUUAAAGAAGACAAGUGGACAAGUGGAUUCUUGGUGACAUUGAGACUUUCUACAAUACAGUGGAAGAAUUGCCAAUGAAUGUGGCUAACAGCACUCGCUGUUAUGGACUAGGUGAUGACAACAUGCAUUGUGCUUUUUCUUUGGGAAUAUUUGAAGCUUGUCUAAAGCUCAUGACUUAUCAAAAAUACAGAUUUUGAUAAUAAUGCUACUCUCUUACUUAUGAGCUCAUAUGAGGAAAGUCAUUGACUUUAUCUUCUUUAAAAUUAGAAUACUGGAAAAAAAGCCUUUAAAGAUUUGGCCUAUAGAGUAAAUUUCAAAAUGGGAAAAAACACUGGUCCUAUAAUGAGAUGUAAAUCAUAUCACCGACAUUAAUCUUCUCCUGGUGAGUUCAAUUCCCUGUAGCAGCAUAGAAAGGAAAAGAAAAUAUUGGAACUGAGAGUAAUAAAAUGAACACAACAGGCAAAAAAAAUAGAAUACUGGAGUUGGAUAUGAAAGGUGAGACUGUAAAAAUCAUUCUUAGAAGUUUAUUUCCUAGUUCUGUAAAAAGGGUUAUAUUGAGUGUUCUCUGUCAUUUAAUACUAUACUUGUGGACUGGACAAUAUGUGCUGUAUAAAAGCAGCCAAUUCUAUUAAACUAGUGUAACUGCUUUUAUAGUGUGGUCAUUAAACUGAACAGAACAAACUUGAAAAUUA